CCUACGGGAGGCAGCAGUGGGGAAUAUUGGGCAAUGGGCGCAAGCCUGACCCAGCAACGCCGCGUGAAGGAAGAAGGCUUUCGGGUUGUAAACUUCUUUUCUGAGGGACGAAGAAAGUGACGGUACCUCAGGAAUAAGCCACGGCUAACUACGUAGCAGCAGCCGCGGUAAUACGUAGGUGGCAAGCGUUAUCCGGAUUUAUGGGGUGUAAAGGGCGUGUAGGCGGGAAAGCAAGUCAGAUGUAAAAACUCAGGGCUAAACCCUGAGCCUUCAUUUGAAACUGUUUUUCUUGAGUGCUGGAGAGGCAAUCGGAAUUUCGUGUGUAGCGGUGAAAUGCGUAGAUAUACGGAGGAACACCAGUGGCGAAGGCGGAUUGCUGGACAGUAACUGACGCUGAGGCGCGAAAGCGUGGGGAGCAAACAGGAUUAGAUACCCUUGUAGUC
rnacentral:rRNA from 1 species